AUUCGGUGGCAGGAGGGAGCAGGAACCAGUCCAUGCAGUUGAAGCUGGAGAUAGCAAACCAAAGGACACACAAACAGCUCAUCUUUGGACGCGCAUGAGGAUAUCUGCAAGUUGUUAGUGCCCCCGCAUCCUGACCCUGUGCAGCUUUCUCAUGUGACUUUGUUGAGGUUUGGCACAUGCUUGUUUCUAACCUGCUCUGAGGACAGAAAAGAAGUAAAGCCAUAUUAGGCAGAUGAUGGGCGCGGCCAGAGCUUGAUUGACA